GACGAACGCGGCGGCGUGCUUAACACAUGCAAGUCGAACGGAGCGAAUGAAAGCUUGCUUUUAUAAGCUUAGUGGCAAACGGGUGAGUAACACGUAGGCAACCUGCCGACAGGAUGGGGACAACAUUCCGAAAGGAAUGCUAAUACCGAAUGAAGUCAGAGAAGGGCAUCCUUUUCUGAUGAAAGAUGGCCUCUAUAUAUAAGCUAUCACCUGUUGAUGGGCCUGCGUCUGAUUAGCUGGUAGGUGAGGUAACGGCUCACCUAGGCGACGAUCAGUAGCCGGUCUGAGAGGAUGAACGGCCACAUUGGGACUGAGACACGGCCCAGACUCCUACAGGAGGCAGCAGUGGGGAAUCUUCCGCAAUGGGCGCAGGCCUGACGGAGCAACGCCGCGUGAGUGAAGAAGGUCUUCGGAUCGUAAAGCUCUGUUGAUGGGGACGAACGUGCCUAAUGCGAAUAGUAUUAGGUAAUGACGGACCC
rnacentral:rRNA from 1 species